UAGUGGGUGGUGCAGUGGGUAGAACUGUCGCCUCAUAGCAAGAAGGUCCUGGGUUCAAAUCCCAGCCGGGGGC
rnacentral:tRNA from 1 species